AUAUUCUGACAUUUCUAAUGUACUUUCAGGUUGUAGCCUUCCCAAUACUAAAUCAGCUGGGAGAGAAACAUGCCUACCGAACAUCAUCUCACAUGGACUUACGCCAGUUGACUCGUGCUGGGCUGACCUAUAAGCUAACAUGAGCAAGGGUGCCUUUUGUUUCGACCUAGUUUCAACAACUGAACACUUUUGUGUAGAUUCUUCAGAUAUGGGAGACAUGGCUGCUGAGAUACCUUCUGUGGGAGCAGGGACUUUCCCGUUAUCCGCAAUGGAUCCAGCGGGACUGAAAAUUUGCUGACCUAUGGGUUUGAAAGUGACUUCCCCGGACUCUUCUAAAUCUGACAUUUCUGUGACUUUUUUUUUUUU